AGAAAGCACGUGAAGUAUACUGUUCAAUCAUCCAACGGUUGCCGACACGAGUGAAAGAAUAGUACAUCUACAUGUGUUAAAGAACUUCCUAUAACUGUCCAUCUUCACCCUCCAUAACAAGGCAGACAUACAGAACCUUUCUUCAUCUCUGAGAAUGCCUUCCCAACGAAGCCUCUUGAGUUACCCAGUGUUCCUUAUUCCUUGGGGUACCUCUACAAGCCAAUGACUCCAAAGCAAAAGUAUCUCAUAUCACCAAGGUAGAAAGCAAGAGUAUCUCAUAUCAUGCGUUCUCCCUGUCCUUUCCUUUGUCCUUGUUCUU
rnacentral:lncRNA from 1 species